GCACUCACGCAGGGGAGUCCCGCCCAGGGGACUGAGAGGCUGACAGGGGGAACCCCGGUGAUGCGACCCUUAGAACCUGACCCAGUUGAUACUGGCGUAGGAAGCUAGUCACCUGAAUCU
rnacentral:ncRNA from 2 species